rnacentral:rRNA from 1 species
AGAGUUUGAUCCUGGCUCAGAUUGAACGCUGGCGGCAGGCCUAACACAUGCAAGUCGAACGGUAACAGGAAACAGCUUGCUGUUUCGCUGACGAGUGGCGGACGGGUGAGUAAUGUCUGGGAAACUGCCUGAUGGAGGGGGAUAACUACUGGAAACGGUAGCUAAUACCGCAUAACGUCGCAAGACCAAAGAGGGGGACCUUCGGGCCUCUUGCCAUCGGAUGUGCCCAGAUGGGAUUAGCUAGUAGGUGGGGUAACGGCUCACCUAGGCGACGAUCCCUAGCUGGUCUGAGAGGAUGACCAGCCACACUGGAACUGAGACACGGUCCAGACUCCUACGGGAGGCAGCAGUGGGGAAUAUUGCACAAUGGGCGCAAGCCUGAUGCAGCCAUGCCGCGUGUAUGAAGAAGGCCUUCGGGUUGUAAAGUACUUUCAGCGGGGAGGAAGGGAGUAAGGUUAAUACCUUUGCUCAUUGACGUUACCCGCAGAAGAAGCACCGGCUAACUCCGUGCCAGCAGCCGCGGUAAUACGGAGGGUGCAAGCGUUAAUCGGAAUUACUGGGCGUAAAGCGCACGCAGGCGGUUUGUUAAGUCAGAUGUGAAAUCCCCGGGCUCAACCUGGGAACUGCAUCUGAUACUGGCAAGCUUGAGUCUCGUAGAGGGGGGUAGAAUUCCAGGUGUAGCGGUGAAAUGCGUAGAGAUCUGGAGGAAUACCGGUGGCGAAGGCGGCCCCCUGGACGAAGACUGACGCUCAGGUGCGAAAGCGUGGGGGAGCAAACAGGAUUAGAUACCC